rnacentral:rRNA from 1 species
UACAGAGGUCCCGAGCGUUGUUCGGAUUCACUGGGCGUAAAGGGUGCGUAGGUGGCGAUGUAAGUCUGAUGUGAAAUCUCCAAGCUCAACUUGGAAAAGGCAUUGGAUACUAUGUUGCUUGAGGAUUGGAGGGGAGACUGGAAUUCUCGGUGUAGCAGUGAAAUGCGUAGAUAUCGAGAGGAACACCGGUGGCGAAGGCGAGUCUCUGGACAAAUCCUGACACUGAGGCACGAAAGCUAGGGGAGCAAACAGGAUUAGAAACCCUCGUAGUCC